UGCAGCUCAAUAAGCAUGAUAUUCAGCUUACUCACAAGGAGAAGUUGUGUUCGGUUGAGAAGCACAUAAGUUUCUUUCUUCUCAAAAGGCUGCGUAAGCCUACUUCUUCUCCUUCGUGGGGGGGCCAGGGGCAACUUCCUCUGUCUUGCACGCAGCUUCAACAACCACAAUCUCUUGAUGUUCAAGCUAAUCCACCGACACAACCUGUACAUGGUUUCAUGCCGGCAAUGCAACAGAAUAAUCUCACCAACUUGCAACAUCUUUCCUUGUCAGGCGUAAAUACUGUACAACCUGGUUCCGGUGUGGCUACUGGCAAUUUACCACAGAAUCCUGUCAAUUACAGUCCUCAACAAGUAAACAUAAGCUCAUUAAGUUCACAAAGUGGAACAAACCCAGUGCAGGCAAACUUCGGUUCCCUACAGCAAAAUUCAAGCAUCCCGCAACAGUCACUGUUUGAACUGCACGAGCAGCAAAUGUUGCAGGACCAGCAAUGAAGACAGAUGUAUGAGCAGAUGCAGCAGCAAACUUUUCAUAGCCAGCUGUUAAUGCAACAUCAGCAAUUAUUUCAUAGACAUCAGUUACUGCAACAGCAAGCAAUGCAACAACAGUUAAUGCAGCAGCAGCAGGCAAUGCAGCUGCAAAUUGUGCAAUUGCGAGCCCGCCAGAUGUCACGGCUUCACCAAGUGACUGAUGCAAAUGACCUAAUGAUGAGGCAGCAAAUGGGAAUGAAUAUGGAGGUUUUACAGCAACAGCAGUCAGUUGGCCAGCAUGUUGGAUCUCUUCAUCCUCAAUUGAAGUCGGGAAUAUCUUUACCUCAGCUCCAUGGUACUAUCUCGACAGGUAUGUCAUCAACAUUUUAUUCCACUAUUAUCAUUUCUGGAGGCAAUUCUAUCAGCUAUAUGGUGAAUCAUGCUGGAUUUACUAGAUUUUGAUACUAUAAAAGGACUCUUGGAAAACAGCUUACCUAAUGUAACUGUUACUACAAUGAUUGAGCCUUAAUUCGUAGUAGUUGGUGUGUAUGUAUGUAUGUAUAGAUAUUUAUAUUGUCACCCGACUUUCCAAACUAUGAUCCGAGUCAUUCUUCAAAUAUGUAUGGACCCGAACCCGAUAAAUUUGCAAAUUUUUACAUAGGCGUUAAAGACCAACCUUAGUGUGGGAAGAGUUUCAGAUAUGAAUUAAGGUCAUAAGGAACUUCUAGCUCAAAAUUAAGUUAGAAAGUUUCUUUACCGAUUGAGUUACCGUAUAAGAUUCUACUAGGGUCAACUUCAAAUGCACAUAAAUACUUAAAUGUGAAGAAUUUUUCAGUUCAAGGGUCUUAGAUUCUUCUUCCUAACGCCACUGACCGUUCGUCAAUCUAAUACCAGAGUAAAAGGUUAUGACCAUUUUUCAGAGGGUAUCCGUCUGCCAAAGAACGACGGGCAAAAUAAUGGUUUGUCCCCUGAAGGAUGGUUCGUCCUCUGGAUGACGGUCCGUCCCUUUGGCUGUGGGGCCUAACUAGUGAGUUCGAAAAUUGUCCCAGGGCGACGGUUUGGACCACAGUCCGUUCCUGAAAUCGUCUGACGAGUUUUUUUGCACUUUGUAAAGAGUUUUCGGAGGGGUAGUUUGGUGCUUUCUUUACCCAAGGCCCUCCCCACACUUUUAAACACCUAAAAAGGGUUAUUUCUCAGAAGAAAAAAAUAUUCAUAGUCCCUCCUAAUUCAUUCUCCCUUCUUCCUAAACGCAAGGAACAUGUAAGAGGAUUUUCUCAAACCCAAUAACUCCAAAGCUCCCAUAUUCAAGAAUUUCUCCAAGAAUCUUCCUCUUUCAUGUAUGUGGGUAUUCAACGAGGAUACUCCUUUCAUCCUCGUGCCCGAAACUUCAAUUUUCUUAAAACUUUAUGAAUUUACACGAGAUUUUGCAUGAAUUUCAUGGUUUUGAAGUAUGUUGCCUCCUUAUGGUUCAUAAUCUAUCCUCUUGCAAGAACUUGUGAUUUUUAUGGCUUAUCUUUAUAUCUCACAUAUGAUUUAAAACCUAUGAUUUAUGCAUUUGUAGGCUUAGCAUGAAAUUUCAUGAUUUAGGGUUUAUGUCCAAUUAUGCAUAUUUUUUUGAAAGUCCUUUACGUUAUUAUAUGAUUUUAGUUCUUGUUAAAGUAAUUAUGCAUGAAAUUAUACAUGUUUUUCCUAUUCCUAAUAUUUGGGCAAUGAUUUGACAUGGUUUGAAAGAUUUCAACUUAUUUUAAUACUACUUGGCAUGUUAUGAAUACAUAAUCCCAGAAUUCAGUAAAACGCGAGCUUGGCUAGUUUUGGUAUUUCAGAAUUUUAGCUAUUGAGAUAAAUUAAACUAGUUUCAUGCUUAUUUUUAGAAAAAUAAUUUUUCCACUUAUAUAUAUGGGCAAAUAGUAUACAAUUUUGGGAGUAGUAUUUAAUACCAAGGAAAUGCGGGCUUUAGACAAAAAUUCAAAUUUCCAAACUACGUGCCACCGCAGGUUAAGGAGGGGUCCUUGCUAGUUGAGAUUGUCUCCCUUCACCCAAAAUGGCUCAUGAGUGAAUUCACAUCAAAUCAUGGUGCCCUAUCCCUUGCAAGGUUUGAAGCCCUCCCACCGAGGAUACAAAUUGGACUCCAUGAGGCAUGUCGAUUAAGAGAAUCUCCCACAGAAAAGAAAUUUUUGAAACUAAGUGUAUAUGCCUCACUAUACGAGUUUGACUAAGACUUUUUAUGAUUUACUUGUAUGUUUCACGAUUUCAGCUUUGUGCAUGAAAUAGAGUGAGUUACUGUAAAUUUAUCAUGCAUGAUUUUUUAUUUAUUAUGUACAUGACUGACAAAAUUUUCCGUACUUAAAUGAUUUGUUUAUGGCUAUUUCAGGUGAUCCAGUUUUCUGGUUUAAUUUUAUGACAUCCUGAGUCCAUGUCUACCCCUUUUACAAAUGUUUAUUAUGAAUCGAGCAUUUUCCCGUAAGUCAUGUUUUCAGAAUGAUUUUAUAACAUACUUAUGAUGUUGCAUAUCUCACAUAUUCAAUACAUCCUAUAGUGCUAAUCACAUACUUUUUUUGCACUAUAUUUGUAUUAUAAUAUAGGUACCGACACCCAGUCUCAGUUCCUCAGUUCAUACAUUUUUGGUACUCUGUUCAACAACUGAUAUUCAAUGAGUUGUCAUCUUCCGAGGACAGAAAUUUAUUUCAGUUUUUCUCAUGUUAGUUUUGGGUUUAAUUCAGUAUUUAGAGUUAGCUGGGGGUUUGUCCCAGUAACUCAUCAGUUUAUUGAGGCUUUCAGAACCAGGGUUAAAGAGACUUUAGAUUUCAUGUUGGGUUCUUCACGUGUUUUACAUUCGGAGUUUUCAGUUGACUACAAGAUACCUUUAAAUAUAUUGGAUUAGCUUCCGUUCUAGUACUAUGCUACAUGUCAUGGGUUAGCUUGGGACCACUUGUUGUUCUAAACAUCGUAUUACGUUUAGGGUAUAGACUCAAUUGUAACACACACACACAUUUAGACACACAUUAGGCAUAAUACAUAAAAAUACUCUUUAACUUGGUCUCAGUUAGGAUCUAUAUUCUUUAAUUUUGGAUGUGUAUAAAUAGAUAUUUAAAUUUGUAUAAAGUUGAACAAGUAGACACACAUCUUAUGUGUCAUAAUGUAUGUCGGACUUUAUGUUGGACACGAAUUGUCACACUGGACACGUGUGGCUUAGGCACUACUUGUUCGUCAGUCUUGACAUUUGCAUCUGUGACAGAAAAAUUACAAGAAAAGGGAGUCUUGAGUACAAAUCGAUGGGUACUCAGUAUGUGUCAUAGAGACACCCUAACAUGGUUAGGUAGAAUUUAUACAAAAUUAAUAUGCAUGAGCGAGAUAAAUAAAACAUUUCUAGAUUCAUCAUUUAAUAGAGAUAUAAUACAUGAACAUGUCCUUUAAAUUGCCCUCAAAUUACAUCUAUUAUCUUAAACUUUUGGUGUGCGCAAGUAGUCACUUAAAUUUGUAUAAAGUUGAACAAGUAGACACACACGUCCUAUAUGGUAUAAUACACAUAAGCCGUCAUAUCGGACAAGAAUUUGCCACGUAGGAUGUCACAUAGGCCAUACAUGUCUACUUGUUCAAUUUUAUACAAGUUGAAGUGCCUUAAGUUAAAGGGCAAGUUUAUGUAAUGUGCCUUUAAUAUAAUUGCAAAGAUUUCAUUUGACAAUGUAAGGACUUUUGAUAGGUUGGGUUCUAGUUUGGAUGAAUUGAGUCGGUAACUAAACUUAAUGAUCGUUUAUAGCAUGUUGAGGAAUGAUCAGGUAUGGUUGAGGGGAGUCACAGAAAAUUGAGUCUCAUCAAAGGAAGACGGAGACAUUGUUGGCUAAUAUGAUUAAAAACGAUUUCUCCUUCAUUUUUCUCACUACAAGAACACUAUUGGUGUAUUAUUUUAAUGCAUUAUCGCCAAAUUUAAAAGUGUUAGCUUCCUAUAUUGACAUAAUAUAUUUUAAUAAUGACAAAUUAAUAACGAAAAUCAUGCAGGAUACAUUGAAGAUGUAAUCAAGGCAAGCAAGAUCGUUUCCGGAGCGAAACUUGGAGAAGCAUCUCGCAAAAUCCCUAACUACAAGAAAGUCAGAGCCGUAUUUGGAAUAGCAACAAAAAAAGAUCUCAUUACAUCCCAAAUUACAAGGAAGACAAUCAACAAUCAUUAAGCAACAUGGAAAGCAGAUUUCUCAAAGAACUACGGAAGGAAGGAAGAUCACACCCUCUACAUUGACAUGUUUGACAUGGACCUCUAUGGAUGUGAGUCUAUGUCCGAGAAAGGAAGGUCAUAUCAUAUGUACGAAUAUAUCUGAUAUGGACGUACCAUAUGAAGUGAAUCCUCAAUCAAGGGAUCAAUUCAAAUCCCUGAUUGAGAAGAAAUCUCCUGGGUUUUCCUUAUACAACAAAGAAGCCAGAUUAGCUGAAGGUUAUAAAAAGGAAGAUUGAACACCAAAGACGAUACACAACUUCAUAGAAAUUCUUAGUGUGUCUCAAUCUUUAAGUCUCCAAAAAGCUUUGUAAUUAUUAAUUUACAAUAGUUACAAAAGAGAAAGAUCGAGUCCAGGGCCGACUUCAAGGUGAAGCACAGAAGCAAGUGCUUUAGGCCUCCGAUUUUUGGAGGCCCAUUUCUUUAAAACAUUAUAGGGUUGUAGUUUUUUUAGAUUUUUUUUUCUUUAGAAAAUAUCAAUUUUUCUUAAUAUUUUCUUCAUCACAUUUUAAUUUCUCUUAAACUUAAAUAAAAAUAUUACUUUAGAAAUUCAAGAUUAAAGUUGAUAAUUAACAUUAAUUUUUUUUUCUUUUAAUACUCUCAAUUCUAAAAAGAACAUCUAAUAAAUAGAGGUAGCUCAGAAAGCCAUACCUUCCAUUUAUUAUUUUGAUUAAUGAACGCGAAAAGAAUUAAAGCAACGAUUACAGUGAAAUCGAAGAAGUUGAAAGGUAAGAUGACUUCAAUCAGAUAAAAAGAUUUUAUUAUUUUACGAACACAUAUUUUUCUUGAUCCUAUAUAAUUGUCUUAGCUGAAAGAAGUUUUUUAAAAAUAAAAUUUCAAAAAUAUUACUUGAGCUUAAAAAAAAAUUUCAAGAGAUAUCAAAUGAAUUAAGCAUACUAUUAAUUGAAAAGAAAUUUUUUGGAAGCAAUUUUAUUAUAAUUUUACACCUAAAAAGCUAUAAAUAUAAAUAUGUGAAAAAAAUUCAAAGUCUCAUUUUAAAAUUUUGCUUUAGGCCAUCAAUUAUGUUGAGCCGCCCCUGAUCGAGUCAACUUAGUCAUACUAAUAUCAGUUGAGACUGUGUCACAAAAGUUGAAUAAUAAAAUACUAUUCAGAAAUUGUUUAAACCCUUUAUAAUCUGUUUCUUUUAUUGAAAGCUCUAAACGAAACCCUUGUAACCAAAGGGACUGAAGUAGACAUCAUACCGGUGAUUCGAGGCGGAAUAAAUCUUUGUAUUUUUAAUUAUUUCCUUAUUUACAUUUUUUGACUUUAUUCUUUUUUACAUAUUAUACUAUUAUACUAACCUGUAGGUAGGGGUGGACGUUCGGUCGGUUCGGCCUGAUUGUUUAAUAUCGGUUCGAUUUAUCGAUUUUUGGAUUGACAAAAAUGACAUCCAUAACCAAACCGAAAUAAAUUUAGUUCGGUUAUUUCGAUUUUUUUUUUCGAUUUGAAAUAUUAAAGUAAUUAGUCUCUCUUUUUCAUAAUUGAGCAUUUAAAAUUGAUGAUUUUUUUUAGAAAAAUUAUUUUUUUCAAACCUAUUUUUCAUUCCCAAAUAUAAAUAACUAUAAAUAACUCAACACGGAUGAAACGAAAUGAAAUAAUCAUAAGCUUAACAUAAUACAUAACGUCAUUAAUCAUUACAUAUAAUAUAAACUUGCAUAAAUAGUCUCCAAAACGACACAAAACUCAUCUAUUUCUCGCCGGUGGAUAGCCAGAACCCACAAAUCCACAACUAGUAGAAGUCAAAACAAUCAACGAAGGAACACCGCCUUGCCUUCUGUGGAGCGGAGGAACACUCGUGAAUCGUGACUCGUCGUCGCCGGUGUACGUGAGAAACGGCGUAGGAAAUACCAAAAUAGGGAUUUAGGGUUGGCAACGGGCAAUGAUUGCAGCGUAUGCGAAGUGAAUGUGAAUUACUAAAUAUAAUAUAUAUAUAUAUAUAUAUAUAAUAAAAUAUAUAUUAUUUAUUUAUUUAUAAAAUUUUGAUUUUUUGGUUUAAUCGAAUGUUUUUUCAGAAAAAUCAAAAACCAAACCGAAAAACCAAAAUUUUAAAAUUACAAAUUAAAUCUGAUCCGAAAAAUCAAAAUUAAAUUUUGAUUUAAUUUUUUGAUUUAAACCAAAAUAUGCCUAUCCUACCUAUAGGUGAAUGACUACCUGAUCAGUCGACUCAGAAAAAGAAGUGUUGCUUAAUGCACUUGAGUGAGUAAAGAUCCGAUGGACAAACUAUCAGAUUCAAGACGGUCGCUCAUCAAAAAGGCCGCCAAACUUUAAUGGACCAACUGUUUCCUUCCAUACCGAACACUCUCUUAAAGGGAUUUGUUUGUAAAGAAACCCCCUGUUUCCUUUAUUCUACUCGUUUCCACAUCCCCCGUUUUUUGUAUCAACCAAAUCCCCUUUCAAAAUUGAAAUUUGAACCUACGAGAUGACUACAGGAAUUGCUUCCUAUAAAACUAUUCCUGGGCCGGAGGUGAGUGACGAGGAUGAGGACGCUGAGGACGUGUUGAAGGAGGAUUCUUUAGAGGAGGUGUCCAUGACAGAGGAACAAAAAUCUGCUGUUGGACACAAAGAGAAUAUCAAAGUUAGGGAAAAUAAGGUAAUUUUUGUUGUUCUACUUUCCAAUUUUUUCCUCUUUGGAAGCCUUUUAUCUUUUACCGAUGGAAGAGAAUAAACGGGACUAUACCUCUGAUCUAUAUAUCGUUUAUGAUACAAAUUGAAUUUUGCAAUUGCUAAGUUUGAUUAGCUAGCAAAAGAGCAUAAGGCCACUGAAUUAUAUUUUGUUAUUAACUACACAAUCUAGAAUCCACAAUAAUCGAUUUUGCCAAACCUUGUCCUGGAUGUGGGAUGUAGAUCAGUUAUCGAGCUGCCCACCUGUCAUGUAGUAAUCAAAUAUUAAACUGAGUGUUUUUUUUGUGUGGGUAGGUGGUGUUAACUUAGUACUGUGAUUAUUCUCCCAGUAUAAUUUCUCAACUCACUAAUGAUCUCUUGUGUUUUGUAUAAAUGAUCUCGUGUUUAAACUUUAUAAGUUAAUGGUCUCACUAUUUUUAAACCUCCUAGGUUUCUAAUAGUUGCUCGUGUGUUUUGUUGUCAGAUCUCUUGUGGAUUGAAUUCUGGUGCUAAACUUGAUGUGCUUUUAGUGCAAGUUCAGGACCGAUUGGAGAAAAUGGAGGCUCAUUCAGAAAAGUUGGAAACUUUGCUGGUUGAUAUGGACGAAAAAUUGAACUAUAUAGUGAAGAUAAAAGGUGCUAAAGUUUCCAGGGACGUUAAAUGUCCAGCUAAGUACAUGAGCACCUCGUGGACCGGUAAUGGCCGACCAAAGAGGAGAGAUAGAAUAGCUGAGAUAAUAAGGCAGUCGUGGAAGCAUCAGCGAUUGGGAAGAGGUGAUAAGGCAGUAGUUCAUCCAGUUGCUUCGCGGCGUGAUUGUGUCGAAAAUGACCAAAGUAAGUUGGAUGCCGAAGAACAACAAAAUUGAUGAUAAUUACUACUAUGAGCUUAUGGGGUAUUAAAAAUUACUUAUAUUCUUUUUUCCUAGACUAGGCUCUAUUAAGAUUGUUAUUAUGACUAGCACAAUAAUCCAUCUAUGAUGUUUUAUUUGAAUGAUUUCUUUUGCAUUGUCAAUGUCCUCCUAUGUUUAAAAUAAUUCAUCUCUAGCAAUUUAUAAAUCUUUUCGUUUUCAAGUUAUCAAAAAUAAAACACAAUCUCUUCGUUAAGUGAACAUCUGUACAUUGCAUUCAGAAAAAGAAUAGUAACAACAACAAAAUAAUUCAAUAACUGAAACAUAAAAUACUACAGAUGAAAACAGAUAUCUAAAGUAAGAAACUAUAUGUAUAAGGCUAAUACUACGACAUACACAUGUGCUUUCUGACUCUCACCAAGCUUAAUCCCGCCGAAAAAUGCGAUAAAGUUCAACUACUUACUUUCUACCCUAUGCCACAACAUCCAUACCUUCCUAACUAGGUCAUUUUCAAUGAUAUCUUUUUAUCACAUAAGACUCAAGGUGAGCCUUAAUUUUAUCCAACCCCACACCAAUAAUAUGUGUAACAUCAUCAUCCAUUAUCUUAACUUCCAUGAAAAUGGGUGGUUAGUACGUAGAUCCUUUGGGUUUAAUUUUUAAACUUCAUACAAAUAAGGCAGGGGCGGAUCUAGGGGCUUGGGUGGGGGUUCCCGGGUAUCCAGUAACCUUCGUGUGGGUCUAGUAUUUAUAUAGAGAAAUCUUGUAAAUAUAUAAAAAUUAUAAGUUGGGAACCCAUGAACAAAGUGUAUUGUUGGUCUAGUGGAGUAGAUGGACUUGUAAAAGUUUUAGUUACCUCUAGGUUGUGAGUUCAAAUAUUGUAUCCAUACUCUUUGGUUUUAUUUUUAUCUAACAUAGGAAACCCACAAACUUUAAAUCCUGAAUCCGUCUCUUAAUAAGGUGUAGAUAACUCUGCUAGCUAGAAGCACCAUUUGUUAGUGCAGAGUAAGGGGCAAUGAGGGGAAAUUAUUUCUGAAGUAAGAUGGAGAAAAGUAUAAUGUAAAUAAUCGUCAGAGAUAUUAUGUUUGAGAUUUUGACUCACUCUUAAGUAGUUAGGGGUGAGAAUUAAGUAAACAUAUGGUGAGAAUUUAAGAUGAGAUUUUGCAUUGUUAAUGCAGUUUAAAUAUUUUUAAUAUGUCAAUAUUAGUUGAAAUAGUAAAUAGUAAAAUCACUAAGAUUUUUUAAUAAUCAAAGAUUGAGUGAGUUGUCACAUGAGGCUGAAGUGGUGGUGAAGCUGGAUUCUCAAGUCAUUCAGAAGAGGGAGAGUUUCAAGUCUCUUGGGUCUAUGAUUCAGGAGAAUGGUGAGAUUGGCGAGGAAGUCACACCGUAGUGGUACAGGGUGAUUGAAAUAAAGGCUCGCUUCGGGUGUCUUGUGUGAUAAGAAGGUGCCUCCUAAGCUUAAAGUAAGUUCUAUAGAGUGGCAGCCUGACCGACUAUAUUUUAUGGAGCGGAGUGUUGGCCAGUAAGGACUCCCACAUCCAAAAGUUGAAGGUGGCGGAGAUGAGGAUAUUGCGAUAGAUGUGAGGACUUACCAAGAAAGAUAGGGUUAGAAAUGAGAUCAUUCUGGAGAAGGUGAAAGUGGCUUCGGUGGUGGACAAGAUGCAGGAAGUGAGGUUGUGAUGGUUCAGGUAUGUGAUGAGGAGGUGCACGGAUGCUCAUGUAUGGAGGUGUGGGAGGUUGACUAUGGAUGGUUUUAGGUGUGAUAGAGGUAGACCGAAGAAAUAUUGGGAGAUGAUUAGGCAUGACAUGGAGUAGUUACAACUUACAAAUGACAUGACCUUUUAUAGGAAGGUGUGGAGGACUCAGAUUAGAGUAGAGGGUUGGUGGGUAGGAGUCCGACAGUUAUAGUAGGGAAGACUGCUUUGUUUGUAUCUGCACCUGAGGUUUCUUAGGUUUAUUGUUCGUGGUGUUUCAGUGAUGUCUAUGAAUUUGGAUAGAUAAUUUAUAGUAGUACAUUGUGGGUGUCUUAUUUCCUUUAUUAUCUAGCUGUGUGUUAUUUCAUUUUGUUGUGUGAUUUUAUGUUUUUUGUUUGUUAUACUGUUAUAUGUCUUGAGCCGGGGGUCUAUCGAAAACAACCUCUCUACCUCAUAUGAGGUAGUGAUAUGGAUUGCGUACACUUUACCCUCUCAAGACCCUCCUACUUUGUGGGAGUACACUAGAUAUGUGUUAUUGUAGAACUAUAUAUAAAAGAAAGCAAGAAAUGGAGUACGCUUUAGUAAUAGUUUGGAUUUAUUUUACAACUAUGCGAAGAGAGGGUAGUUCCACUAGUUAACUUUAAUACUAAGAUUAUCAAAAUACAAUAAAAAUUUUAUUCUAAUUAAAUCUUCUAGGGUUUAGGCUAAGGGAAAAAGUGGAUAAAAACUGAGAUAAAUAUCGCCGGAGUACCCGUCAGAUCAGAUGUUCGACCGGAGGUAGUUUACUUUUCCUAUUGCAACUUGUACUUGUUUUUCAAAACCUUUCAUGCUUUCUUAAUCGAGCUCGUCGCAUAAAAAUUGCCUAGUGAUAUUUAUCUCUCCUGAAUGGCUAGCGGGAUUUAAGGUGUAGCGAUUGCGGGUACCCUUGUCAUAAGAAAGAAAAAGAGGAAAUGAUGAAACCUCUAAGGACUUGGUCUAGUGGUACGAGUUAAUUCGUGACAUAUGGGUUAUAGGCACGUCACAGGUUCGAACCCUGUUACAGUCUAAAGCUCUAAGGGGUUGUUUGGUACACGGGAUAUGGUGAUAUUAUGCCUUUGAGAAAUUAACUUUAAUACUUAGAUUCUUUCUUUGAUAACUGUGGUGUUUGGGACAACUUUUGCGCACCUAGACUAAAUCAAAAUACAAUAAGAAAUUUAUUCUAAUAAAAUCUUCCAGGGUUUAGGCUCAAGCGGGGAAACAAUUGAUCAGAAUUGAGAUGGAUAUUGAUACUUAGGAUGGUGAAUGUAAUAAAGCAUAAAAUCAGCUUCUAUUUUUUAAAUUUCAAAUUUAGUAGUUCCUUUCCUUUAGGACUUUGUUGUAUUUAGGUUAUAUGUAGAUAGGUACUAUCCUUUUCUUAGUUUAUCUUUUCGUUGUAUAGAAUCUAUAAAUACUCAAUGUACAAUCAAUGAAAAACAUCGUUCCUUCUAUUCCAAUAGCAGUGUUGUACUUCAUAUGGUAUCCAGAGCUAAUUAACUCUCACGAGUAUAAUUCUUUCGAUAAGCCCUCCCACUUUUCACUUCAAAAUGACCACAAACGUCACUGUAACCAAUUCAGAUGCCAACACCACAAUUGUCCAAUUUAAUUGUCACCCAGUUACCAAUCAAACUAACUGGCAACCACAAUUUUUCCCUUUAGAAAGCGCUAGUGUCCAUGCUUAUGCGUGGUCACAACCUUUAUGGCCAUCUCGACGGUUCUCGCCCUGCCCCUACUCGUACAAUGACUCAAAAUAAUUAGGAAGUCGAAAAUCCUAAGUUUGUUUCAUGGUAUCGCCAAGAUCAGCUAAUUCAAAAUGUCAUCUUGGCCUCAGUUGAUCCUACACUUGCCACUUGCUGCUAUAGUUGCCUCUGCAUCCACCGCCAAGGCUAUUUGGGAUGCUUUGCACACUGCAUAUGCCAACAAAUCGCAAACAAGAAUCGUUAGUUUGCGUGAUCGUCUAGCUCGUCUCUCGAAAGAAGCCCUUCCCAUCGCUGAUUAUCUUCACCAAGUUAGAUUUUUCUGUGACGAACUUGCCACUGCUGGAGCUCCUGUGUCUAAUGAGGAACUGAUUAUCAAAAUCUUCACUGGAAUUGGUCCUGAAUUCUGUGAAAUAGCUGCUGCUAUCUGUUCAAGCCAGAACUUCAUGAAAGUUUCUUGAUCAUGAACUUUUCAUAAAGCAUGAAGAAGCAAAGAGGCUACUAUCAACACCAAUUGUUUCUGCUAUCGCAUAGAACAAUAACAACAACAACAAACCCAGUGUAUUCCCACGUAGUGAGGUCUGGGGAGGGUAAGAUGUACGCAGUCCAUACCUCUACCUCUAAAGAAGUAGAAAGACUAUUUCCGAUAGACCCCCGGCUCUAGACACGGAAUACUAAACAAAUUCAUAACAAAGCAUGGAACAAGAUGGCAUAACAUAAAUACGACACCCACAAGUAAGAGAAAACAGAGAAAAGUAAACAGAUUCGUAAUGAAGCAUGAAACAAGGUAUCAUAACAAGAAUAAUACCCCCACCAAGUAAUUCCCUACACUAGCGACCCAAACUGACCCUAGCCUUCUGCCCUAAGCAAACACAUAUCCUCGCCAAGAAAACAACUCCAACAGGCGUCCCAGUGCAAAUUGCCCCAACACCAACCAACCAUGGUGCAGUGGAAAAAAUAACCAACGACGAUAUGAAAACACUCUGAAGUGCUAUUGAACACCCUAAAAAGUGGCACCAGUUGAAUGCCGUCACAAUAAUGUUAUUGAGACGGCCAAAACCUUAUUGCACCAAACCUCCUUGCCCCCAAUUUUUGGAGUUUUGCCUGUCACCAAGCAGUCUACCUUAUAAACCAUCUAACAACUCCAAAUUUACAAAAUAAAUGUCCUUAUGAAAUUCUAUUUCAAGAGUCUUCGAAGUAUGAAUCCCUUAGAGUUUUUAGUUGUUUAUGCUACCCAUGACUCAAACCAUAUAACAAAAAUAAAUUAAAGCCAAGAUCAAAUCCCUGUGUGUGUCCAAUGAUUAAGUUUGGUAUUAAAUUUGUAUCAUGUUUGGUUGAUGGUAUAAAUUUAUUUUGGGAUUAAUUUGUGCACCGAACGACCCCUAAAGGGUAUCCGUCGAGUUUCUAACUCUACUUGAUUGACCUUGGGAUUCGCCGGCUGUAUAGAAAGGUAAAAAAAACUAAUGAAACUUGUAAAAAUUGGAGAUAAGCAUCCAGUGCCUCCCAUGACCAAAGUUGCGACGACACACUCCAAAUUUACAGGGGUCCAUUACCCCGCUGAACUCAAUUUUAACAAAUUUUUGUCACUCUGUUGUGCUGAUGUGGUACCUUUAUAAUAUAAAAUAAAAUAGGGCCCACGUCAAAGGUGCCACAUUAGCUAACAAGGUUAAUAAAAGGUGUCACGGCUUAAAAGAUUGACAAAAAGACGCUAAAAUUUAGCUGGGGGUUCCUACUUUUAUAAUUAAUUGUAACUUCAAUGUUAUCUAAUAAAAAAUGGACUUAUGAAAUGUGAUCAAAAUUUCGUGUUGGAGGUUCCUACUUUUAUAAUAGUAUAGAUUAAAAGAUGGAGAUAUUAGUACAUUACCAAGUACCCAAUCAAUACCUUAGUGUAAAGUGGGAAAAACUUUAACUUUUUUAGACAAGUACAAUUGCAGUGAAAUUAAAAUCAAUACUAAUAAGAGGCUAGAAGCAAGCACCUCUUUGUCUACGUCGAUGUGCCUCUUUCAUGUCGAGGGUGUUUUUUGAAAUUCAAACCUAUUCAUCAACGUGCUUGCUUUAUGCUGAGGAUAUUUUUGGAAUUUCAAUGUCUAUGGUUUAAAUGUCCUUUAGAUAUGCUUUUCCGUUGUGGCAAGCAUAAAGCAUAUCUAAAGAUUUUGUUUUGCCAAAUAAGUGGUUAAAUGUUGAUAACGACUUUAUUAAAAAUAUGUCAAAUAAGAAAAUAUGCCUUUUUUUUUGGGAACUGACUAAAAAGAAAAAUGUCACAUAAAUUGUGCAACAACAACAACAACAAACCCAGUAUAUUCCCACAUAGUGGGGUCUGGGGAGGGUAGAAUGUACGCAGUCCAUACCACUACAUCCGAAGAAGUAGAGAGGCUGUUUCCGAUAGAUCCCCGGCUCAAGAAAAGACCGAGACCGUGUUCAAAUAUCGCAAAGCAUACAACAUGAUAAAAUAACAACGAUACAACAACCUCAAGUAAGUAUAUGAACCAACAAAAGGCACCCCCUCCCCCCAACCCUAGCCCUACUAACCAAGCUACACGAAACUCUCCUAACUCCAGCCUAUGACUUAACCACACCCCUUAGCCCUCUACCCUAAUAUUCUUCCUCCAAACCUUCCUAUCAAGGGUCAUGUCCUCAGUGAGCCGUAAUUGCUCCAUGUCACGCCUAAUUACUUUUGUCCAGUAUUUCUUCGGUCUACCCCUACCCCUCCUGAAACCAUCCAAGGCCAUCCUCUCACACCUACGAACUGGAGCAUCCGUGCCCUUUCUCAUCACAUGCCCAAACCAUCUCAACCUCCCUUCCCGAAUUUUAUCCUCCACCGACGCCACUCCCACCUUGUCCCGAAUAGCCUCAUUCCUAACCCUGUCAGCCCUCGUAGACAGCCCUCGUGAUACUGCACAUCCAACGCAACAUCCUCAUUUCCGCCACCUUCAACUUCUGAAUGUGAGAGUUCUUAACCGGCCAGCACUCCGCGCCAUACAACAUAGCCGGUCGGACUGCAGCUCUGUAGAAUUUGCCUUUCAGUUUGGGAGGCACCUUCUUAUCGCAAAGGAUUCCCGAGGCGAGCCGCCAUUUCAACCAACCUGCCCCAAUACGGUGAGAGACAUCCUCGUCAAUCUCUCCAUUCCCCUGAAUCAUAGACCCAAGGUACUUAAAACUAUCUCUCUUACAUACCAUACCACCUGAGACUCCAACUUCACUACCACCUCGUCCUCUUGCCUCAUGUCACUAAACUUACACUCCAAGUAUUUUGUCUUUGUCCUACUCAACCUAAAACCUUUAGUUUUCAGGGUUUGUCUCCAAACCUCCAACUUAUCAUUAACACCUCGACGCGACUCAUCAAUCAAGACUACAUCAUCCGCAAAAAGCAUACACCAUGGCACCUCACCUUGAAUACUCCUUGUCAACACAUCCAUAGCCACGGCGAAUAAAAACGGACUAAGAGUCGAUCCCUGGUGCAAUCCAGUCAGGACCAAAAAAUGGUCAGAAUCCCCUCCCACAGUCCUUACCCGAGUCUUCGCCCCCUCGUACAUGUCCCUAAUCGAACGAAUGUACGCCAUAGGAACCCCCUUACUUCCAAGCAUCUCCAAAGAACCUCUCUAGGAACUUUGUCAUACGCCUUUUCCAAGUCAAUAAACAGUAUGUGAAGAUCCCUCUUUCUCUCUCUAUACUGCUCAACCAUUCUCCGCACUAGGUGAAUUGCCUCAGUCGUCGAGCGAUCAGGCAUAAAACCAAACUGAUUCUUCGAAAUAGACACUAUCCUCCUCAACCUCCGCUCCAUCACCCGCUCCCAAAUCUUCAUCGUGUGACUCAACAACUUAAUACCUCGGUAGUUGUUGCAACUCUGAAUAUCACCCUUGUUCUUAUAGAGAGGAAUCAUCGUGCUACAUCGCCACGCCUUGGGCAUCUUAGCGGACUUGAAAAUGUUGUUGAAUAAGUCGGUCAACCACCUCAACCCCGUCCCGCUAGCAAACUUCCAAAAAUCCACCGGAAUCUCAUCGGGCCCAUCGCCUUGCCUCUUCGUAUCUUGCGAAUAGCCUCACUAACCUCCUCCACCUUAAAACGCCGACAAAAAUCGAAAUCACAAAAUUCUUCAGUGUGCUCCAACUCCCCUAGUACAAUGCCUCUGUCCCCCUCAUCAUUCAGGAGCUUAUGAAAAUACGACUGCCAUCUUUUCUUAAUAAGAACGUCAUUUACCAAAACUCUGUCAUCCUCCCCCUUAAUGCACUUAACCUGGUUCAGAUCUGGACCCUUACGCUCCCUGGCUUUUGCAAGCCUAAACAGCCUCUUCUCCCCGCCCUUCUCCUCAAGUCCCUCAUACAAUCUCUCAAACGUUGUUGUCUUAGCAGCGGUGACCGCUAACUUAGCCUCCUUCCUAGCUAACUUGUACUCCUCCCUGCUCACUCGCCUCUCCUCAUCAUCCUUACUCAGCACCAACUUUACGUAAGCCACCUUCUUCGACUCCACUUUCUUCUUAACUUCUUCAUUUCACCACCAAUCCCCCCGAUGCCGGCCAGACCAGCCCCUCGAGGCACCCAGAACCUCUCGAGCUGUCUCCUUGAUACAACUCACAGCCGUAUCCCACAUACUAUCCACAUCCCUCCUACACUCCCAAGCCCCCAUCCCCUCCAACUUCGCCCCUAUCUCCAAAGCAGUAGCCGGGGUCAGGUCGCCCCACCUUACUCUAGAUCGACCCUCCCUACCCCUUCUCUUAUUUACCUUCUUCAUAACCAAGUCCAUCACCAGAAGUCUAUGUUGGGUCGAAAGGUUCUCACUCGAAAGGACUUUACAAUCCUUACACAAAGCUCUAUCCCCCUUCCUAAGCAGCAAAAAGUCAAUUUGAGUCUUGGCCCUACUGCGAAAAGUAACCAGAUGCUCCUCCUUCUUCGGGAAGCAGGAAUUCCCUACCACCAACUCAAAGGCUCUCGCAAAAUCCAAAAGAGUGGCUCCAGCAUCGUUCCUAUCCCUAAAGCCAAAGCCACCAUGCACCUCCCCAUAACCAACCGGUAAAGCCCCGAUGUGCCCAUUGAAGUCCCCUCCUAAGAAAAAAUUCUCCGAGCUAGGCACGCUACUAACCACCUCGUCCAAAACUUUCCAAAAUCUCCUCUUUUCCUCCUCAUGCAGGCCACCUGUGGCGCAUAAGCACUACAGAUGUUCACCGUGAACCCCCCAAUCACUAACUUAAUAGUCAUCACCCUAUCACUAACCCUAUUAACCUCCACUACUUGCUCCCUAAGCUCUUCAUCCACUAAUAUACCUACCCAAUUCCUACGCCUCUCGUUACCCGAAUACCACAACUUGUACCCAUCCACAUCCUUAGCCUUAGAACCUACCCACUUAGUCUCCUGAAUACACGUAGUAUUGAUUCUUCUCUUCCUAAGGAUCUUAACCAGCUCUAUCGACUUACCCUGAAGGGGCCCUAUGUUCCACGACCCUACUCUCAACCUAUCCUCUCUGGAAACCCCUUCCCUAAUACCUCCGCCUUUACACCUGCCCCCAACGCCGGACCCCACCUCCACCCUCAACCCCACAGGACAUGACCCUAUUCCACCAUUUACCCCCUAAGCCACUACUCAAAACCGGACAACAAGAAAACGGUACACAACAACACAGUAGUAAAAGGCACACGCAAAUCACCAAAAAUACCUCCAAAAUAUGCGAACAACAGAUAGUAGGCACCAAAUUAACAGGCAGCUUAAUCAAUCACAAAUUCCCGGCAGUGAAGAUACCGACAAUACGUGGUAAAAAUAAAAACAAACAAAACAACCCGCCACCAAAACAAAGGGACAGUGGGAAAACAGUAGGAGAAUAGUAGCAGGCACGCACAAAAAUACACAACAAUAUCUGCCAAUAAACAGACCAGGCAUGCAAUAAUCAUAGGAAGCUGAGAAUAAAAUUACACGAAACUAGAAUGUAAAACAACUAAGUAUUAAAGUUUGGAUGUCACCCGGAUACUCCUGCGUAUGUUGGACACGACAAUUUUGAUGUCGAAAUUGGUUGUCGGAGUAAAGUCGCCGGAAAUCGACUGGUUGCACGUCGCCGGAAUGUCACCUGGGUUUCUUCCUGGUGUUGCCAGAAGCUGGUCUCCGAUUGACGUCUUACCUCCUCAGUUAAAUCGGAUUUGACCGGUGCAUCACCAAUCCUCCGUCGCCGGAGUCGAGCCGGCGGAGAAACUAAUCCUCCGGCGAUAGCAGUGGCUAGAUGACAAAACAACAGGGAGGGAGGGGGAGGAUAACCAAGGUAAAAUCUGCUCUAAGCCAGCGGACGUACUUGUAUUGAUUGAUAUCGUAUGUAGUUUGCAACAGUUCCAACUCUCAACUGGUAGUCUGGAAGCAUAAAUUGUGCAAAACGAAAAUAUAGGCUAGGUCAAGGAGGUAGAAACUAAUUUUCUACUUGCACCGCUUCUCUUAGCGAUAAUGUCUUCUGCAUCAGGUAUGUCUUCUUUAACGUUUUUUUUCCUUAAAAUUAUCGUUUCAAGAUCCUGAUGUCGCUGGCAUGAGACUUUGCAUCGGUGUAUUCAUAUAUCAGAAAUAUCUAACACUUUAUCAAAAUUUGCCUGAAACUUAAAUGUUGUAAGAAAUCAAAUUCUUUUAUAUUUGUGUUAACCUGAAUUUUUGUUUUAUUUGUAGAUAUGGAUUCUACAUCUCAGAUGGAAAAUGCCGAUGGAACUAAUUGGCAGGAAGAGACUUACCAAAAGGUACUGUUUGUAAUGAUAUUUUUAUUUGCUCAAGAAUUCGUGCUUUUUAAUGUGGAUUUUGAUGUACUGUCUGCUUAUAACUAUAUAAAAAAUUGCUGAAUGUUCAGAAACAUUUCCAGUGAUUAAUGGAGUAACUGUUCAGUUAAAUCCAUAGUUGUACCCUUCACCCUAAGGUACUUAUGUAUUCCCGUUCGUAGAGAAAAUAGAUAAUUGAGCAUGUUAACAAGUAAUAACCACAACUAUGCCUCAAUCCAAGCAAGUUGAGUUGGGCUAUGUGAAUCUUACUAUCCGAUACUAGUCCAAUAUUGUCAAUGAUAAGAAAUUAGAUUCACAAGCACUGGCAUAAGUGAGAUGUGGAGUAUUUCUUGAUAAAUUAAUUGAUUAGAAAGAUUAGUUGUUGAAUGCUUUGAUCUUAUUAUCUAAAUUCAUGAGGUAUCAUGUCUGUAAGUUACGGUCGAAGUUUUCAUGACAUGUCACCAAUUUGCUUUAGUUCCCAGCAACUUAACCUAAAAUUGCAAGUUUUGUUGAAAAUAUGUCUCAGAAAUAAAGUAGGAAUAGAUACUUUUAGUAGUUUAAAUUAUUAGAGUUUUACGUGACUUAGGAAUUAGUUAUUCCUUUGUUAUUUGAAUAUGAAUUAGUUAUCCCAAUUUAAAUUGGACUGUAGUUAGAAAUUUAGCUAUAAAUAUAUGUCUUGAGUUAUUAAUAAAAUAAUUCCUUUGACGCUACAAUUGCAGUAUUUUUUUCUCUCCAAGUCUUUCUCCAAGUCUUUCUCUGUUAUUUCUUUUAUUUCAAAGCUAAAAACCAAAAGUUUGAAGGGAAAACCUAGUCAUGCUAUACUUGAAUAACUGACUAUUGAGAAGAUGUUCUCUGUGAAAAGACAUCUGCCCAUCUGUAUUAGUUGGUAUACUUUUUCUCAGUUGCUUAUUUUACCACUUACAUGUUAAUCAGUUGUAGUGUUCCUCUUCUACUUCACUUUUAACCUUUUAUCUGGAACUUGUAAGGUUUUUUUCUGAAGAUUCUCUAGUGCAUCGUUCAUUUGAUGUAACUGACUAUUGAGAAGAUGUUCUCUGUGAAAAGACAUCUGCCCAUCUGUAUUAGUUGUUAUACUUCUUCUCAGUUGCUUAUUUUACCACUUACAUGUUAAGUCAGUUGUAGACGUAGUGUUCCUCUUCUACUUCACUUUUAACCUUUUUAUCUGGAAGUUGUAAGGUUCUUUUCUGAAGAUUCUCUAGUGCAUCGUUCAUUUGAUGUAAUUAUCCACAUGGAAAUGCAGUGCUGCCAUUUCUGCAGUUGACUUAAUGUAACUUUGCAAUUACAGAUCAAGUCAAUGAUGGUGAAGCAUUUGCCAGAGCUUAAUGCUUUAUACCAGAAAAUUGCUUCUAAAGUGCAGCAGGUAUGUUGUAGCAUGCUAAGAUUUACUAGAUUUUGAUAUAAUUUGAGCUGUUAAUAGUUCUCUUUUAUCAUAAAUUGGAGCUCAAAUUAGUUGGAGUUAGCUGAAGUCCAAAUUAGUUGGUUUUAAAAGUUAGUUAGGAAACAGUGCAGCUACAGUAGUCUGUUUUCAGAAUUAGUUGGUAUUGAUUAGUUGGGUCGGUUAUCAAAUAACUGCUUCAUUAGAUAGGUUUGAUCAUUUCAGUUACAUCAUUAUCUAUAAAUAUUCAUUGUAAUCAUCAUUUACAACAUAAUAUGAAAUAAACCCAAGUCCUUCUCUCUCAAUUCUCUCUUUCUCUCUCUGUUUCUUCUUUCUUCUGAGAUUGUAUCCUCGAUUUAACUCCUGGGCAAUCAACUCGAUCCUCGAAUUUUUGUGGUUCCUGCAAUAGAGUAACAUUCGUAUCAGAGCCACUCUUCCUCAGCAACAAGGGUGAAAGGUGUAAGAGUAACGGGUGAUUCAACAACCGAAGCUGCUGCUGCAGAGAUUGGAGAUUUGAUUGAGAUGAUGCAAAAUCUAGUUACAAAGGUGGGACAUUUGGCGGGCAAGGUCUCAUCAUUGGAGAGGUUGGAUAGUGCUGUUAUGGAGUUGAAGCAAUAACUAGUAGGGGAAGGUCGGAGGAACACUGUUCGUUUAGGGCAUGAAGAAAAUCAUGACCAGGAGGGGGGAAUGGGAAAUAACAGAGACAGAGAAAGUAGCCCUAGCUAUGGUAAUGCUUCUCAAUUUUCCAAUUCUUCUAAUUUUCAGCACUCUCAUUUCCGUAGAUGGUUGGGAAUGGAGUUUUUAAAGUUUUCUGGGGAUGAUCUUUGAUCUUGGUUAUUCAAGAUUGAGCAAUUCUUCUCUAUGGAGAUUAUUGCACCUGAGGACAAGGUGACCAUAUCCAUACAAUUGGAAGGGGAAGCUAUUCAGUGGCGUGUUACUUUCAUGAGAUACAGACAGGUUAUCAGCUGGAAGAAAUAUGUAGGAGCUUUGGUGGAGAGGUUUGGGAUUAACUUUGAUGAUCCCAUGAAGGAAAUUAAGAAGAUUAAACAACUCAUAACAUGUUAAAUAGAUUUCAUCAUGAGAGAGAAAAUUUCAUAAAUCAUGCUCUUAAAUCACUUCUCAAAACUUGUAACAUAUAUACACAUGACUAUAACUCAAGUUUAUGGAAUAACCCCAUAGUAAACACAUAAUUUAAUCAUAAAAAUAGGUUCAUGAUUCAUGCUCUUCAAACCAUUUCAAAACCCAUAAUAUAUACAUACAUAUACCAUUUUAAAGCUUAAUUAAACAUCACACUUAUGCCCAUGAAUAGUCGGAUAGUUCUACAUACCUUUGACGGCGAAAAGUUAAAUAAUAACCUUGAGUUUGGAAUAUACAAGCUUUAGAGUUGAGAAACCCGUUUUGAUGUUCUUGGGAGGAAGAGAAUGAGGAUUUUGGUGACUUCUACUAGUGUAGGACGACUUUAGAGUUAUAAAAAUGUAUUGGGGGAGUUAUGGGGGUGAAAGGACCAUUUUGCCCUUGAUUUAAAGGGGGGAAAAUGUGUUUUAACGUCUGGGAAAGAAGGAUCACGCCGCAGACACCAACACGAAUUAAGAGCUUUGCCUCGCGACCCCAAACACGAUGCACCAACAUUGCCUCGCGACCCUAAUCGCGCACCCUGGACAGUGUCUCACCAAAACACUUAUAAAUUUUGACUCCGAAAUCGUAUUGACAAACGGUCGGUAGCGUUGGAAAGAGAACUCAAAGGGCUUUAAUUUGAUAUACAGUAGGCCACACAACUCUUUAUAUCUAGGAGUAAUGGUCGUUGGAUGUUAACCCAAGUAAAAUCAUAUACUAAAAUUCAAUAGGUAGGAAAAUCUUCAACUCAACUUUGAGCUUGGUGAUAUUUAUGACUUCAAUCCAUCUCCGAAGAUGUUUCCACCCUAAAGAAUUAUUAUUUACACUUAUUUCUAAAUAGAAAUAAUUGGGUUCGGGUCUAUAUACCUAGGGAAGACGGUUCAAACUUUAGCCCGAAAGUGAGGGGUGUUUCCAUCUUAGCAUCUCAUUUUCGCUACUAUCAAAUUUUGGAUGUUUGAGUCCUUGACGGGCUAACACUUAGCCUCAUACGACAUAACUUGUCUAACCACUACUCUAUCAAACUUAUCUUUAAGUUAUGGUGGCAUAUUCUUAUCUUGCAAGACAUCGGAUGAUAGCCUCCAUUUCAUCCACCCCACUCUAAUGCGAUGUGUAAAUCAUCAAUAUUCUCCCAUUUUUCUUGGAUUAUUAACCCAAGAUACUUGAAACUCCCUCUCUUGGGGAUGGCUUGUGUAUCAAUCCUCACAUUCACGUCUGCCUCCUUAAUUAUUUCACUAAACUUGCACUCCAAGUGUUGUCUUACUCUUUCUCAACCUAAACACUUAAGACUUCAGGGUAAGUCUUCAACCUUCAGUCUAUCGUUAAAUUCGUCACAUCUGCGAAUUAUAUACACCAUGACACCUCCUAUUGGAUAUGCUGUGCUAAUUCAUCCAUUACCAAGGCAAACAAAUAUGAACUAAGAGCUGAUCCUUACCAAGUCUUGGUUCCAUCAAACAUUUCUUUAAUCUCUCUAAUGUAUGCUACAUGUACACCUCGAGCUUCCAAAAAUCUCCAUAGAAUCCCCUUAAGAACUUUGUCGUAAGCAUUGUCUAGGUUGAUGAACACCAUAUGUAAGUCCCUCUUCCUCUCCUUAUCCAACUCCACCAAUCUCUUUACGAGAUAAGUGACUUUUGUAGUUGAUCACCUCAGUGCAAAUUCCAGCGUGAUGUCGUUUGGCCUGGUCGUGCUUUCCUUCAUCUUAUGAAUAACCUCCUUAAACUCCCCAAACUUUAUAUUCUUACUGUGAGAAUUAAUAGAGAAAAUAUUAUUGAAAUUGUGUAUUUACAUAAUUACAUAGAGACCCUAUUUAUAGAUACUAUAGUAAAUCCUUUUCCAAGUAGGAUUUUGAUAUACUACUAUUUCUACACAUAUUCUAACACUCCCACUUAAGCUGGUGCAUACAAAUCAUAUGUACCUAGCUUGUUAUAAAUGUAAUUAAUACGAGGACCAGUGAGGGACUUGGUGAAGAUGUCUGCAAGUUGAUCACUUGACUUCACAAAUUUCGUAACACUAUCUCCUGAGAGAAUCUUUUCUCUGACAAAGUGACAAUCAAUCUCUAUGUGUUUAGUCCUCUCAUGAAACACUGGAUUUUAUGCGAUAUGAAGGGCUGCUUGAUUAUAACACACAAGUUCCAUCUUACUGGUUUCUCCAAAUUUUAAUUUUUUCAGCAACUGUUUGAUCCAAACUAGCUCACAAGUUGCUACAGCCAUUGCUCGAUAUUCUGCUUCCGCACUAGAUCGAGCAACCACACUCUGUUUCUUAUUCUUCUAAGACACCAAAUUACCUCCUACUAAAACACAAUAUCCGGAAGUAGAACGUCUAUCAGAGGGUGAUCCAGCCCAAUCAGCAUCGGUGUAUCCAAUGAUAUGCUCGUGACCUCGAUCCUCAAAGAAUAGUCCUUUACCUGGAGCUGACUUUAUAUAUUGCAGAAUACGAAUAACUGCAUCCCAAUGACUAUCACAGGGGUAAGUCAUAAAUUGACUUACAACACUCACAGGAAAGGAUAUGUCAGGUCUUGUCACAGUAAGAUAAUUCACCUUUCCAACCAACCGCCUAUACCUUUCAGGAUCACUGAGUGGCUCCCCUUGUCCUGGUAGAAGUUUAGCAUUUGGAUCCAUAGGAGUGUCAAUGGGUCUACAUCCCAUCAUUCCUGUCUCCUCAAGAAUGUCUAAGGCAUACUUGCGUUGAGAAAUAACAAUACCUGAUCUGGACCGAGCAACCUCAAUACCUAGAAAAUAUUUUAGUCUGUCGAGGUUUUUGGUCUGAAAAUGCUGAAAGAGAUGUUGCUUCAAUUUAGUGAUACCAUCUUCAUCAUUGCCGGUGAUAACAAUAUUAUCAACAUAAAUCACCAGAUAAAUACACAGAUUUGGUUGAGAAUGUCGAUAAAACACUGAGUGAUCAGCUCCACUACGAAUCAUGCCAAACUGCUGAAUUACUGUGCUAAAUUUUUCAAACCAAGCUCGAGGGGACUGUUUUAAACCAUAAAGUGACCUGCGCAAUUGACAUACAAGGAUGCUACUAGACUCCCCUGAGCAACAAAACCAGGUGGUUGCUCCAUAUAGACUUCUUCCUCAAGAUCAUCGUGCAGAAAAACAUUCUUAAUAUCCAACUGAUAAAGAGGCCAAUGUCGAACGACAACAAUGGAUAGGAAAAGACGGACAGAUGCUAUUUUAGCCACUGGAGAGAAAGUAUUACUAUAAUCAAGCCCAAAUAUUUGCGUGUAUCCUUUGGCAACAAGGCGAGCCUUAAGCCGAUCAACCUGACCGUUUGGACCAACUUUGACUGUAUAAACCCAACGGCAACCAACAGUAGAUUUACCUGCAAGAAGGGGAACAAGAUCCCAAGUACCACUCGCAUGUAAUGCAGACAUCUCAUCUAUCAUAGCUUGCUUCCAUCCUGAAUGAGAAAGUGCUUCACCUAUAGUCUUAGGGAUGGAAAUAGAGGACAAAGAUGAUACAAAAGCAUAAUGGGGGGAUGAUAAAUGAUGAUAACUCAAGAAAGUAUAAUGUGGGUUAGCAUUACGGAUGGAACGCAUACCUUUGUGAAGUGCAAUUGAGUGACUAGGAGAAGGCAAGUCCGCAGUAGGAGCAGCGUCAGGCGCAUGACAUAAAUCAUCUGGGACUAUUGGUGGACGCGGACGACAAUGAUAAGUCAAAAGUGGUGGCACUGUAGCUGGAGAUGUAGAAGUAACCGUUGAUUCCUCAAAGGUUGGUUCGGGUAAGUCUGGAGAUACGGGUAAGACCAAGGAUGGCGUGGGUAAGACUGGAGAUACGGGUAAAAUCUCAGAGAUAUCAGGAUGAUCAGAAGAUAUAUAGUAAGGUCGAUAUUCAAAAAAAGUGACAUCAGCGGACAUAAAGUAGCGACGAAGAUCCGGUGAAUAACAAAGAUACCCUUUUUGAAUUCGAGAGUAACCAAGGAACACACACUUGAGAGCACGAGGAGCUAAUUUAUCUUUUCCAGGGGCGAAGUUAUGAACAAAGCAUGUGCUCCCAAAGAUACGAGAGGGGAUAGAGUAGAGAUGUGACUGUGGAAACAAUAUAGAAUGGGGAAACUUAUUCUGAAUGGAAGAUGAUGACAUUCUAUUAAUUAGAUAACAAGAUGUGAGAACUGCAUCGCCCCAAAAAUGCAGCGGAACAUGGGAUUCAAUGAGAAGUGUGCGAGCAGUCUCAAGAAGAUGCCUAUUUUUUCUUUCUGUUACACUAUUUUGCUGAGGGGUGUACGGACAAGAUGUCUGGUGAACAAUUCCAUGAUGGGUCAUAAACUCCUUAAACUGGGAGGAUAAGUAUUAUAAGGCAUUAUCACUACGAAAAGUACGAAUAGAAACACCAAAUUGAGUUUGUAUUUCAGUACAAAAACUUUUAAAUAUAGAGAAUAACUCAGAACGAUCUUUCAUUAAGAAAACCCAAGUACAUCUUGAAAAAUCAUCAAUGAAGCUAAUAAAAUAACGAAAACCUAAAGGUGAACUGACUCUACUAGGAUCCCAAACAAUGAACUAAUGAGAAAAUAGACUUUGAAUGACUCUCAAUACUACGUGAGAAACUAGCAUGGGUGUGUUUUCCAAGUUGACAUGACUCACAAUUUAGGUCGGGAGGGUCUGUAAUGGAGCAUGCUGUGAAGGAAUUUGAAGAAGUAAGAUGGUAAAGGCCUUGUGAUUCGUGUCCUGCGCCAAUCGUCUGUCCUGUACUGCGGUCCUGCAUUAGAAAAGAGUCAUAAAAAAAGUUAUGCUACAAUGAAGGGCACGUGUCAAAUGAUUAACAGAUGCAAGAUUUAAAGGACAACCAGGGACAUAAAGAACAGAGUCUAGAGGGACAGAAGAUAGGAGUUUGGCUUGUCCAACUCCUUUUGGUUUCGUUCGGAUCCCAUUGGCUAAGGUAAUAGCAGGAAGAGAUUGUGAAUAAAUAAUAUCAGACAAAAGUAAUUUGUUACCGGAAAUAUGAUCAGAAACACCUGAGUCCACAACCCAUGAUCCAAGGGUACUAGCCUGUGAAACACAAGCAAAAAGAUUACCAGCAACAGAAGCAUUAGGCUGGGCAACCGAGGCUACUUGUGGAGAUGUCUGCUUGCUUGAUACUGAAGGAACUCAUCAUAUUCUGUUUGGGCCAUAUGAGCAUUAUUGGGUGGUCGAUUAGGCUGUGGAGAUAUCUGCUUAUUUGCUCGAUUCCAAAGGAACUCAUUAUAUUCCUUUACAGCAAUAGGAUCAUAACUGGGUGGUGGACCAUGCAAACGAUGGCAUAUAUCCUGAGUGUGUCCAACUUUAUGACAAUAACUACACCUCGAUCGAGAUUUGCCAGAACGACCUCCUUCUCGUCGAUUUUCCAUAGGCUGAUAUGUUCGUUUUUCCAUGGUUUGAGAUGCAAGAAUAGAUGAGUCAACAGUGGGUGAUGAAACUACUCUUUGAUUGGAAGGCGCGGCAAGGCGAAGCAGACGAGAGAAUAACUCAUCAAUUGUAGGAACCGUAGGAUUAGCUAAAAUCUGAUCACGUACAACAUCAUGGUCAGUAGAAAGUCCAGCAAGUGUAAGAACUAAAAACAACAUCUGUCUGUGCUCUUGUUGUUUUUCUACAUCCGCAGUGACAGGCAUCAAUGUAUCAAAUUCUUCCAUGACUGCUUGUACUUGUCCCAAGUAAGUAGACAUAUCGGAUUCCUGUUUCUUCAAGUUGGUCAUUCGAGCUAUCACAUCAUAAAAACGAGAUAUGUCAUUAGUAUAUAAAGCCCGAGCCUUUUCCCAAACUAAAUAACAUGACUGGAAUGGACGGAACAAAGACAUCAACUUGGAAUCAAUAGAUCGCCAUAAGAGACUACAUAAUUGAGCGUCAACUUUCUCCCAUUUUUCUUUAGCUUUCGCAUCUUCCGUGCUACUUUCCCUUUUCAUCUACCACACUAGCUUUGUUCGUUAAAUGAUCUUGGACACCUUGACCUUUGCACCACAACUCAACUGAGGAAGCCCAUGCUAAUAAUUUGAACUUCCCAUUAAUGGUUCGGAAGUGAUCAUAGGACUUGAAUUUCCGAUACCGGUAGUUUUGGGACCAAAAACAUCAUACCCAAAAGACAUCUUGGAAAUUUUAACUUGAAAAUAUGAAGAAACAGAUCUGGAAAUCUGAAAUAUGAAGAAACAGAUUUGGAAAUAGAUCUGGAAAUCUUGAUUUUUUUUUUCCAGUCACCGGAACCUCGCCGGAAUUUGAAAGAAAAAUAAGUGGUCGGAUCGGAAUAGAACGUCGACCCCAACAAAAAGGGAACCACUCAAAAAAUUCAACCGGCGAAGUCUCACUCGCCGGCGCGUGAUUGAUGUUGCCGGAUUUCCGGCAGGCGCGUGGAGGGUGAUUUUCCGGUGGUUUGGGUCGGGUUUGUGUCGCCUGAGCUUUCCGAUCCUCUUGGUGGUGUUUUAUUUUUCACACAACCCACAAAAUGAAAAAUAGUACAAAUCAAUCACCGGAAUUGACGACGGUGACUGGAAUUAUUUUUUCUGAAGUUUCUCACCAACGAUCUGAUACCAUGUGAGAAUUAAUAGAGAAAAUAUUAUUGAAAUUGUGUAUUUACAUAAUUACAUAGAGAUCCUAUUUAUAGACACUAUAGUAAAUCCUUUUCCAAGUAGGAUUUUGAUAUACUACUCCUAUUUCUACACAUAUUUUAACACUUACAAUACCCAAAAUACCGACGACUCUCACAGAACUCUAAAUCACCCAACACGAUACUUUUGUCCGCUUCUUCAUUCAAAAAUUUAUGGUAGUACGUCUUCCAGCUUCUUUUAAUGUGUGACUCUUCCACCAACACAUUGUCUUUCUUGUCUUUGACAUCACUUGGUCCAAGUCUUAAUCCCUCCACUCUCUCGCUUUGGCGAGCCUAUACAACUUCAUCAUGGUUCCAAAUUUUGGUUGACUCUCUUUCAAGUGCAAGUUUCUGUCAAUUGACACACCAUCAUUUGCAUAUAGCAUACACCAAGGUACACUGCAUAUUGUAUUUUUAUCAGUUAGUGGAAACUCCUCUUAUCUUUUUGCAUGUUUCUCCUACCUAUUAUAGCUCCUUACUUAUAUUAUCUGGCAUUUAUAUUUGAUACAAACUCCUUGAUAUGCCCUAGGCUUUUACAUGUUUCUCAUUUUUUGCACCUAUGGUUCCUUUCCUGUCAUCUUGAGAAACACUGCGCUCAAAGUGGGAAUAUAUAUAUUGUAGUGCGGUUAAUUCCUUUUCAUAUAUUGCAUCUGCAUGAUUUGUCUGUGUUGAAGCAUCUUGUAUGAUUGUGAAGUAGAGCUGGUGGUAGACGCCAUAAAAGGAGUUAUUUUCACGUAUCUAUGUAGACACUGCGAUAUAGAUGUCAUUUUUAUGUUAGUUUGUUUUCUUUUCGGGAAAAAGGCUUGAUUUAUCCGAAUUUAAAGAGCACCUGAGUCAACUUUCUACUGAAUUGUCGGGACUCUGCUUGCGAUGUUAUUGUUACUUUAUGCCAUUUCUUAAGUUUUCUCCCUUUAUCUUGUCCGCGGGAGGUACUUAAAGCAUGACUUUUAAAAGUUUGCAUAGGGCAAGAAGCAGGAGUGUGACUAAACUGAUUUUUCUUUCUGGUUUUAAGCAUGAUGCUAUUCCUCAGCGUCCUCAAAAUGAGCAAAUUGAAAAGCUCAAGAAGUUCAAGGCUGUGUUGGAACGCAUUCUGAUUUUCUUGCAGCUCAAUAAGCAUGACAUUCAGCUUACUCACAAGGAGAAGUUGUGUUCGGUUGAGAGGCACAUAGGUUUCUUUCUUAGCAAGCCUACUUCUCCUCCUCUGCAGGGGCAACUUCCUCAGUCUUCCAUGCAGCUUCAGCAACCACAAUCACUUGAUGUUCAAACUAAUCCACCGAUGCAACCUCAACUUCACCAGGCACUAUCUUCGCAGGUACGUCAUCAACAUUUUAAUCCACUAUUAUCAUUUCUGGAGGCAAUUCUACCAAUUGUAUGGUGCAUCAUGCUGGAUUUACUAAAUUUUGAUACUAUAAAAGGUCUCUUGACAAACAGCUAGCCAAAUGUGUCAGUCGUCAUUGAAAGUUCUGCUACCGUUUAGUUUCUUUUUCUCCAAUGUCUUUUGUUACACUUGUUUUGUAUAUUACUAUAUUGUUGGCUCUUUUUCUUUCUUUUGAUCGAGGGUCUGUCUAUCAGAAACAACCUCUUACCCCGCAAAGGUAGAGGUAAGGAAUUUCUCUAUUGGGAUUAUACUCUGUAUGUUGUUGAUUAUUUAAGAUCUCAUGUCUUUAAAGUUAGUGAUCUCUUGCAAUUUAUAAAUCUCGAGUAACUCUGGACCUCUCGUGUUUUAUAUUAAUGAUCUCCUUGUUUUUUUUUUCUAAAAAUAUUUGUGUAAGGGUGAUGAUCUCUUGCAAUUUACUCUCAAAUUAUUAAUUAUGUCUUGUAUGUUAUAUCCUACACAGGCACAAAGUACAGGAGCACUUCAGACAGCUACGCUGGAUUCCGGUGGGCAAGAUAUUCCUUCUGAGUUUGAUUAGAUGGCAGUUUUGAUAGAAUUGAUUUAUGUAUCGAAUGGUGUUGAUACUUUAGAUGGCAGUUCUGGUGCUUUGUGUUCUGGUACUAAACUUAAUGAGCGUUUACAAUAGUAUAGAUUAAAAUAUGGAAAUAUUAGUACACUACCAAGUACCCAAUCAAUACCUUAGUGUAAUGUGGGAAAAACUUAACUUUCUUAGAAAAUUACAAUUGGAGGGAAAUUAAAAUCAAUACUAAUAAGAGGCUAGAAGCAGGCACCUUUUUGCCUACGUCGACGUGCCUGUUUCAUGCUGAGGGUAUUUUUUGAAAUUCCAACCUAUUCUUCAACGUGCUUGCUUUAUACUGAGGAUAUUUUUGGAAUUUCAAUGUCUACGGUUUAAAUGUGCUUUAGAUAUGCUUUUCCUUUGUGGCAAGCAUAUCUAAAGAUUUUUUUUUUUGCCAAAUAAGUGGUUAAAUGUUGAUAACAACGUUAUUAAAGAUAUGCCAAAUAGGAAAAUAUGUCAUUUUUUUGGGAACUGACUAAAAAGGAAAAUGUGUCACAUAAACUGCGCAAAACGAAUAUAUAGGCUAGGGCAAGGAGGUAGAAACUAAUUUUCUACUAACGCCGCUACUCUAUGCGAUAAUGUCUUUUGCAUCAGGUAUGUCUUCUUUGACGUUUUUUUCCGUAAGAUUAUCGUAUUCAAGAUCCUGAUGUCGCUGUCGUGAGACUUUGUAUCUGGUGUAUUCAUAUAUCAGAAAUAUCUAACACUUACCCAAAAUUUGCCUGAAACUUAAAUGUUGUAAGCAAUCAACUUCUUUAUAUUUGUGUUAACCUGAAUUUUUGUUUUAUCCGUAUCAAAUUUAGAUUCUACUUCUCAGACGGGAAAUGCAGAUGGAGCUGAUUGGCAGGAAGAGCUUUACCAAGAGGUAUUGUUCGCUAUGGAAUUUUAUUUGCUCAAGAUUUCGUGUUUGUUAAUGUGGAUUUUGAUAAACUGUCUGCUUAUAAUAAUAUAAGAAAUAUUUCCAGUGAUUAUUAUUGAUUAAUGGAGUAAUAAAGGAUGUUUAUCAACAUAAUUGUUCAAUUAAAUCCAUGGUCGUACCCUUCACCCUAAGGUACUUUAUGUAUUCCAGGUCGUAGAGAAAAUACCUGUAUUCCAGUUUAACAGGUAAUAACAACAUCUAUACCUCAAUCCCAACCAAGUUGAGUUGGGUUAUAUGAAUCUUUACUAUACGAUACUAGUCCAAUAUUGUCAGUGACAAAAAAUUAGUUUCACAAGCACUUGCAUAACUGAGAUGUGGAGUAUUUCUUGAUAACUUAAUUGAUUAGAAAAAUUAGUUGUUGAAAGCUUUGAUCUUAUUAUCUAAAGUCAUGAGGUAUUAUGUCUGUAAGUUACGAUUGAAGUCUUCAUAACAUGUCACCAAUUUACUUUUAAUUCCCGGCAACUAAACCUAUAAUUGCAAGUUUGAAGGAUAAACCUAGUCGUGCUAUACCUGAAUAACUGACUAUUUAGAGCAUCUUCUCUGUGAAAAGACAGCUGCUCAUCUGUAUUAGUUGGUAUACUUUUUCUGUUGUUCAUAAUUUUUUUAUAAUAGAAAAAUUUGAUGCUUCUAUCUUCUCGGUGGGUAACAUCUAUCUUCUCUACUCACAUCUGUGACUUUUCCGAAUAAACUUGUAACAUUAACAUGCGCAGUAUACUCCAUCCUAUCGUGUUUUACUUGUGAAGGCGACUACAUCGUUAUUAUUUCAUUCUUUACCUUCAUUUUACUUCAUUAAAGUGAAGUUCGUACUCUUGAUAUUAUCACAUGUUAAUCAGUUGUAGUCUUCCUCUUCUACUUCACUUUUAACCUUUUUAUCUGGAACUUGGAAGGUUCUCUAGAGCAUCGUUCAUUUGAUGUAAUUAUCACCUAUCCACAUGGAAAUGUAGUGUUGCCAUUUCGGCAGUUGAUUUAAUGAAACUUUGCAAUGCAGAUCAAAACAAUGAGGGAGAAGAAUUUACCAGAGCUUAAUGCUUUAUACCAGAAAAUUGCUUCUAAAGUGCAGCAGGUAUGUUGUAGCAUGCUGAGAUUUACUAGAUUUUGAUAUAAUUUGAGAUGUUAAUAGUUCUCCGAAGUCAUUCUUCUUAUGGGGACAGAACUUGCAGUCAUAUAUUUUGUCUUCUACUUGUCCUAAAAUCAUUGUCCUCUAAGCGCCUCAUCAAUAGUAACAUCAUAUUCGGGUUUGGGGAGCAUGGUGCCGUCGCAGACCUUACCCCUGCCUUGUGAAGGCUGAGAGGCUGUUUUUAAAGAUCCUCGGCCCGAGUAAAACAGUACUAUGCAGUUCUGAAAAGUAAUUAUAGUAGUGAAGAGUCCAUAAUAAAAUAAGAGAGAAAAUAACAAUAAAAAGAACAAAUGUACAAAAAUUGAAGCAAGGACAACACCAGUUUGUAAUAAAGAAUCAUAGAAUAAAAUAAUUGAAAGUUAGUAAUAAUACUGCCAAUGAGAAAAACUUGACAAUGCUCAACUACCUAGUAACCUUUUACCCUAAUCCCCGUCUUCCAUAUCCUCCUAUAUACGGUCAUGUUUUCAGUAAGCUAAAGGUGUGCCAUGUCAUGUCUAAUCACCUCUCCCAAUACUUCGUUGGUCUAUCUCUACCUUUCCUCAUACCCACCAUAUCAAACAUCUCACACCUUCUCACUAGAGCAUCGGAGCAUUUCCUUUUCACAUGCCCGAAUCACCUCGGUCUCACUUCCCUCAUCUUUUCCACCACUGAGAUCACUCCCACUUUGUCCCGAAUAUCCUCGUUCUUGAUCAUAUCUGUCCUAGUAAGCCCACACAUCCGUCUCAGCAUCUCAUUUUUGUUGCUAUCAAAUUUUGGACGUUUGAGUUCUUGACGGGUUAACACUUAGCCUCAUACAACAAGCCUCAUACAACAUAACUUUUCUAACCACCACUAUAUAAAACUUAUCUUUUAAGUUAUGGUGGCAUAUUCUAAUCUCAGAAGACACCGGAUGAUAGCCUCCAUUUCAUCCACCCCACUCCAAUGUGAUGUGUAUAUCAUCAUUAAUUUCCCCAUUUUCCUUGGACUAUUAACCCAAAAUACUUGAAACUCCCUCUCUAGGGGAUGACUUGUGUAUCAAUCCUUACUUUCACGUCUGCCUCCUUAAUCGUUUCACUAAACUUGCACUCCAAGUGUUGUCUUACUCCUGCUCUACCUAAACCCUUAGAUUUCAGUCCAACCUUCAGUCUAUCAUUAAAUUCGUCACGUAUCUUGUCAAUCAAUAUUAUGUCAUUUGCGAAUUAUAUACACCAUGGCACCUCCUUUUGGAUAUGCCGUGUUAAUUCAUUCAUCACCAAGACAAAUAACUAUGAACUAAGAGUUGAUCCUGGUGCAACCCCAUCACGAUUUGAAAGUGUUUUUGAGUCUCCUCACACUAUCCUUACUUGAGUCUUGGUUCCAUCAUACAUUUCUUUAAUCUCUCUAAUGUAUUCUACAUGUACACCUCUAGCCUCCAAAAAUCUCCAUAGAACCCAAGCUUUGUCUAGGUUGAUAAACACCAUAUGUAAGUCCCUAGCUCUUCAUCUCCUUAUACAACUCCACCAAUCUCCUUACGAGAUGAAUGACUUCUGUAGUUGAUCGCCUCGGUGCAAAUCCAAACUGGUUCUCGUUGAUUGACACACUCCUCCUCACCGUCAACUCCACCACCCUCUCCCAAACCUUCAUUGUGUGGCUUAACAAUUUUGAUACCUGUAAUUGUUGCAAUUCUAAAUAUCACUCUUGUUCUUGUACAGCGGGAUCAUAGUACUCCACCAGCAUUCUUCUAUCAUUGUUCUUGUCCUAAAAGUGACGUUAAACAACCUAGUUAGCCACUCCAAAUCUGCCGUGUCUGUGGUCUUCCGAAAAUCCACUGUGAUCUUGUCUGGCCUAGUCGCACUGCCCUCCAUCUUACAAAUAACCUCCUUAACCUCCUCAAACUUUAUAUUCUUACAAUACCCAAAAUACCGAUGACUCUCAGAGUACACUAAAUCACCCAGCACGAUUCUUUUGUCUGCUGCUUCAUUCAAAAGUUUAUGGUAGUAGGCUAGGUCUGCCAGCUUCUUCUAAUGUGUGACUCUUCCACCAAUACAUUGUCUUUCUCGUCUUUGACAUCACUUGGUCCAAGUCUUAAGCCUUCCUCUCUCUCGCUUGGCGAGCCUAUACAACUUCAUUAUAGUUCAUUUUUGGUCGACUCUCUUUCAAGUGCAAGUUUCUGUCAAUUGACACACCAUCAUUUCAUAUAGCAUACACCAAGGUGCACUGCAUAUUGUAUUUUUAUCAGUUAGUGGAAACUCCUCUUAUCUUUUUGCAUGUUUCUCCCACCUAUUAUAGCUCCUUACUUAUAUUAUCUGGCAUUUAUAUUUGAUGCAAACUUAUGCCCUAGGCUUUUACAUGUUUCUCAUUUUUUGCACCUAUGGUUCCUUUCCUGUCAUCUUGAGAAACACUGCGCUCAAAGUGGGAAUAUAUAUGUUGUAGUGCGGUUAAUUCCUUUUCAUAUAUUGCAUCUGCAUGAUUUGUCUGUGUUGAAGCAUCUUGUAUGAUUGUGAAGUAGAGCUGGUGGUAGGCGCCAUAAAAGGAGUUAUUUUCACGUAUCUAUGUAGACACUGCGAUAUAGAUGUCAUUUUUAUGUUAGUUUGUUUUCUUUUCGGGAAAAAGGCUUGAUUUAUCCGAAUUUAAAGAGCACCUGAGUCAACUUUCUACUGAAUUGUCGGGACUCUGCUUGCGAUGUUAUUGUUACUUUAUGCCAUUUCUUAAGUUUUCCUCCCUUUAUCUUGUCCACGGGAGGUACUUAAAGCAUGACUUUUAAAAGUUUGCAUAGGGCAAGAAGCAGGAGUGUGACUAAACUGAUUUUUCUUUCUGGUUUUAAGCAUGAUGCUAUUUCUCAGCGACCUCAAAAUGAGCAAAUUGAAAAGCUCAAGAUGUUCAAGGCUGUGUUGGAACGCAUUUUGAUUUUCUUGCAGCUCAAUAAGCAUGACAUUCAGCUUACUCACAAGGAGAAGUUGUGUUCGGUUGAGAGGCACAUAGGUUUCUUUCUUAGCAAGCCUACUUCUCCUCCUCUGCAGGGGCAACUUCCUCAGUCUUCCAUGCAGCUUCAGCAACCACAAUCUCUUGAUGUUCAAACUAAUCCACCGAUGCAACCUCAACUUCAUCAGGCACUAUCUUCGCAGGCAUGUCAUCAAUAUUUUAUUCCACUAUUAUCUUCUGGAGUCUAUUUUACCAGCUGUAUGGUGCAUCAUGCCUGAUUUACUAGAUUUUAAUACUAUAAAAGGACUCUUGGCAAACAGCUAACCAAAUGUCUCAGUCGUCAUUGAAAGUUCUGCUAGCGUUUAUAUUGGGAUAAUGGUGCCCACGUGGUCUUCAAAUCCUAUGUUCGCCUCUGGUCUUGCAGUAAUCUGAAAUUAAGGAGAGUUAUGUUUUUUUUUUCCUUCCGCAGGGAUGAUACAUUGGAGUUGUGAUUAUUCUCCCAAUAUAAAUCUCUCAUGUUAUAAAUGAUCUCUCGUGUUUCUUCUGCUUUAUUCUAAGAUCUCAUUCAUUUCAUUAUGAAAGUAUGGAGGUUGAGGAUUAGGGUAGAAGCUUAGUAGGUAGUUGAGUGUUGUCGUACUUCUAGUAGUAUGAUUUAGGUAUCAUGUAGUUUCUUUUUCUCCAUUGUGUUUUGUUACACUUGUUUUGUAUAUUGCUAUAUUGUUGUCUCUUUUUUCUUUCUUUUUGAUUGAGGGUCUAUCAGAAGCAACCUCUGAACCUUGCAAAGGUAGAGGUAAGGUAUGCUUACAUCCUAUCCUCCUCAAAUCACACUUGUGGGAUUACACUAUGUAUGUUGUUGAUUGUUUAUGAUCUCAUGUGUUUAAAGUUAUUGAUCUCUUGCAAUUUAUAAAUCUCGAGUAACUCUUGAUCUCUCGUGUUUUAUAUAAAUGAUCUCCUUGAUUUUGUUCUAAAAAAAUUUGUGUUAAGUUAAUGAUCUCUUGCAAUUUACUCUCAAAUUAUUAAUUAUGUCUUGUACGUUAUAUCCUACACAGG
rnacentral:lncRNA from 1 species